GAUCUGGCUCAGGAUGAACGCUAGCUACAGGCUUAACACAUGCAAGUCGCGGGGCAGCAUGAAGGAUGCUUGCAUUCUUUGAUGGCGACCGGCGCACGGGUGAGUAACGCGUAUCCAACCUGCCUGUUACCACGGCACAGCCCGUCGAAAGGCGGAUUAAUGCCGUAUGUGGUCCUUUGCGGGCAUCUAAUUAGGACUAAAGGUUUAGCGGUAACAGAUGGGGAUGCGUCCGAUUAG
rnacentral:rRNA from 1 species